AGUGAACGCUGGCGGUAGGCCUAACACAUGCAAGUCGAACGGCAGCACAGUAAGAGCUUGCUCUUACGGGUGGCGAGUGGCGGACGGGUGAGGAAUACAUCGGAAUCUACUUUUUUGUGGGGGAUAACGUAGGGAAACUUACGCUAAUACCGCAUACGACCUACGGGUGAAAGCAGGGGAUCCUCGGACCUUGCGCGAUUGAAUGGGCCGAUGUCGGAUUAGCUAGUUGGCGGGGUAAAGGCCCACCAAGGCGACGAUCCGUAGCUGGUCUGAGAGGAUGAUCAGCCACACGGGAACUGAGACACGGUCCAGACUCCUACGGUAGGCAGCAGUGGGGAAUAUUGGACAAUGGGCGCAAGCCUGAUCCAGCCAUACCGCGUGGGUGAAGAAGGCCUUCGGGUUGUAAAGCCCUUUUGUUGGGAAAGAAAAGCAGCAGGUUAAUACCCCGCUGUUCUGACGGUACCCAAAGAAUAAGCACCGGCUAACUUCGUG
rnacentral:rRNA from 1 species